rnacentral:rRNA from 1 species
UGAUGGCGACCGGCGCACGGGUGAGUAACACGUAUCCAACCUGCCGUCUACUCUUGGCCAGCCUUCUGAAAGGAAGAUUAAUCCAGGAUGGGAUCAUGAGUUCACAUGUCCGCAUGAUUAAAGGUAUUUUCCGGUAGACGAUGGGGAUGCGUUCCAUUAGAUAGUAGGCGGGGUAACGGCCCACCUAGUCAACGAUGGAUAGGGGUUCUGAGAGGAAGGUCCCCCACAUUGGAACUGAGACACGGUCCAAACUCCUACGGGAGGCAGCAGUGAGGAAUAUUGGUCAAUGGGCGAAGGCCUGAACCAGCCAAGUAGCGUGAAGGAUGACUGCCCUAUGGGUUGUAAACUUCUUUUAUAAAGGAAUAAAGUCGGGUAUGCAUACCCGUUUGCAUGUACUUUAUGAAUAAGGAUCGGCUAACUCCGUGCCAGCAGCCGCGGUAAUACGGAGGAUCCGAGCGUUAUCCGGAUUUAUUGGGUUUAAAGGGAGCGUAGAUGGAUGUUUAAGUCAGUUGUGAAAGUUUGCGGCUCAACCGUAAAAUUGCAGUUGAUACUGGAUGUCUUGAGUGCAGUUGAGGCAGGCGGAAUUCGUGGUGUAGCGGUGAAAUGCUUAGAUAUCACGAAGAACUCCGAUUGCGAAG